UUACUUUAUCUGCUUAUGGCAGAAUGGCAGAUAUCAUAGCGCAUGCGCUAUGGUUUCUGUAUUCUGCCCAUGGCUCCUGGAUUUUCAAUCUACAUAAAAAUACAUAAUGCAUAGCCACGGGCAUAGGCACAUACAUUCCGAUUGUAGCCGGUCCUAAAGAAAAGUGAUUAAGAACAAAGAACGGAUUUAUAUUGAUUAACACCAGCAGCAACGCGCGGCUCAGGACAGUUUAAAAAACAUAGACAACGAGUCCGAUGCACCUAAAAUACCGAUCAGAUUAUCAAAGAUUGGUAUUUGGAUGACGAGGACGAUGAUGAUGAUGACGAGGGAGGUAAUCUUACUAUAGUGGAUAGUUCGAAAGACGAAAUCGAGCCUAUCGAGAAGACGCAAGACCUCGUUAUCAAGGAGGAGUUCCAGCCUGCGACAUCCGUGUCCAACGUACCCCAGCCGGCCGCUAUUUUGGACAAAUUAGGUGACCUGAGCAAAAUUGAUAUCAAUGCCGAAGUAUCCAAAUUGCUUUCUACUCCGAAGGCUCAGAGCUCCGCAACCAACAAGACGCAAGCAAACUCGAAUCAAGACGCGUCGAAAACUAAAUCGGCGCAAGAUUCGAAGACGGAUAGCGAGACGUCGUCAAGUCCGAGGCGAUCACCAGAAAUUGUAAUUUAUUGCAAAAUAAACGCAUCUUCUCAUAAUUUUCGGAGGAGUUCCAGCCUGCGAUAUCCGUGUCCAACGUACCCCAGCCGGCCGCUAUUGUGAACAAAUUAGGUGAACUGAGCAAAAUUGAUAUCAGUGCCGAAGUAUCCGAAGACAGUGCAUCUGUCGAACUUCGUUAUCUGUCCAGUUUUUAAUUUUUAUCGACAAUAAUAAGUUUUGAUAAUAUGUUUUAUUAUUAAUUAAUAUAAAUAAACAUUGUUAUUGUCAGUCGAAUUACUCUUUCACCUGUCAGUUACUUUGUAUAUGCAUAUUCGUGAUUUUUACUAGUAAUAAUUUCCACGAAUUUAAAUUCUUAGGUAUCAGCGCAACCGUCAAAUUACAUAAUUAAGUUUUAAUCUAUCAAUUAAUGACAAUCAA